AUGAACGCUGGCGGCGUGCCUAAUCCAUGCAAGUCGAGCGAACGGACGAGAAGCUUGCUUCUCUGAUGUUAGCGGCGGACGGGGGAGUAACACGUGGAUAACCUACCUAUAAGACUGGGAUAACUUCGGGAAACCGGAGCUAAUACCGGAUAAUAUUUUGAACCGCAUGGUUCAAAAGUGAAAGACGGUCUUGCUGUCACUUAUAGAUGGAUCCGCGCUGCAUUAGCUAGUUGGUAAGGUAACGGCUUACCAAGGCAACGAUGCAUAGCCGACCUGAGAGGGUGAUAGGCCACACUGGAACUGAGACACGGUCCAGGCUCCUACGGGAGGCAGCAGUAGGGAAUCUUACGCAAUGGGCGAAAGCCUGACGGAGCAACGCCGCGUGAGUGAUGGAGGUCUUCGGAUCGUAAAACUCUGUUAUUAGGGAAGAACAUAUGUGUAAGUAACUGUGCACAUCUUGACGGUACCUAAUCAGAAAGCCACGGCUAACUACGUG
rnacentral:rRNA from 1 species